rnacentral:tRNA from 1 species
GGACCCUUAGCUCAGUCGGCAGAGCAGACGGCUCAUAACCGUCCGAUCGCAGGUUCGAGCCCUGCAGGGUCCA